CACGUAGGGAGCAAGCGUUGUCCGGAUUUAUUGGGCGUAAAGAGCUCGUAGGUGGUUCGGUAAGUCAGGUGUGAAACCUCCAGGCUCAACCUGGAGACGCCACUUGAUACUGCUGUGACUGGAGUCCGGUAGGGGAGCGUGGAAUUCCUGGUGUAGCGGUGAAAUGCGCAGAUAUCAGGAGGAACACCGGUGGCGAAGGCGGGUCUCUGGGCCGAAAUUGACGCUGAGGAGCGAAAGCGUGGGGAGCAAACAGG
rnacentral:rRNA from 1 species